rnacentral:lncRNA from 1 species
UCUAAAGAACGGUAAGUAUUCAUAUGACAUUUUGAAGUUAUCACUAAGAAGUGACUGUACAGCCAGGGAUUGUGUUUCUCAGUCAGCUUUGCAUCCAGGUAUAGCCACGUGACAAGUUCUUGACAACACAGGGAGUAUGAAUGGCAGACAUAACUACUAAUUUGGACCCUUAUAAAACAGGCGGUGCUUUCCCACAUACUCCUGCCCCUGCCCCUUUUACUGACCAGAUGCUAAUGUACCAAGUAACCUUGGAAGCCACUCAUCAAAAAUGAAAAGCCACCAUACAUCGGGAUUCCUGAACGAUUAUCUGCAGCAAAAGUUAAAGUUCUCACACCAGUAUAAUCCUGCGCCCUAUGCCCUAUCACCUUGGGUUCUUUUAACGUGGAAAAGCAAAUCCAUAUUGUGUUCAUUCAUUACCUAUUGUAUUUCCUCAAUGUAUCUUUUAUUUAUGCCCGUCUUCUGUGAAAACCUUUGUCAUCUGUAGUCUAAUGUCCCCUGCCUCUAAUUUCAACCUUUCUUAGCUACAUUUUAUACU